UUUCAGUAUAUUUUAGGGAAAAAAGACUUCGUGAUGUCAAAACCGCCGGUUAAAUAUUAAGAUUUUUGUUUUAGAGUGUCACUUCUUGGUGGGGGGUGCGCGGAAGGAGGAUUAUUAGAAGCUUUGAAAAAGUUUGGUUCUCAGGCCUGUGUGCGGAGUAAUGCGUGAUUGAUUAAGCAUUUAUUCAGUUUCGAACUCCAUAUAUAGGAGCAAUUAAACCUCCGACUCCAAGAGCUCAUUGUUUCCUGCCUGGAUUACUCCCAGGAGAUAGAGGUUCGAGACAAAUUUAGGCAUUUUUGUGUGGAAUUGGGAGGGCAGGAUAGAGCCGGUAAAAAAAAGGAGAAAACGGAGCACCCGGAAGAAACCCACGCGGUGACAGGGAAAACCACGUGAACCCAGCUCGCCUGUACUGUAAACAGUUGAGAGGCAUCGCCUUUUGAAGAUGGGGACGCUGGGGCCCAUGAUGGAGCUUGCUGAGAUUACAACAUUCUGCAUCUUGCUGUUCCGAUGCCGUGGCGGUGGCCCCUUCGUAUCAGACGGAGAUGCCAUGUCGAAUGCUCUCCAGGGUACAUCUGUAGAAAUUUGCUAGAGUGCUGCCUGACCCGCUGAUUCCCAACAGCUUCUUGCGUUUUACAUUAAAUUUAAACCCCCUUUGCAAAUCAUUCGGAGAUCAGACUCUUAAAAUGAUUUUUUUUUAAAAAAAACGUUGUCUUUAAGGCCGAACAAAAAUGUCCCCGCGAACUCCCAAGGUCGAAACGGGAGAUGAUUUAAUGAAAGUACAGAUCAGGAUAUAGGAAAAUAAACACAAUGGAUACUCAGCAAAUUGUAGUAUGAUAUGAAAGGGUAUAUUUUAUGUAUGCGUAGAUAUAUAAAUACAAUCUCAAUACCCAUUGUCCCUUGUUAAUUACACGUGUUCUUUGUUCCACUGGUUUAAUUUUGUUUCCAAAAGGCGUAGGAGAAGAAUUAGGCCAUUCAGCCCGUCGAGUCGGUUCCGCCAUUCUAUCCUGGCUGCAUUCUUAUCUGUCUCAACCCCAUUCUUCUGCCUUCUUCCGUAAUUUUUGACACCCUGACAAAUCAAGACCCUAUCAAUCUCCCGUUUAAAUAUACCCAGUGACCUGGCCUCCACGGCCGACUGUGGUAACGUUUAUAUUUAGUUUGCUUCAGGCGGGAGUGGUGACGCCGUUUCAUAAAUAGCUUCUUAAUUCUAACAAGUGCAUGAGAAUGUGGGGAUUUAGACCAUUUGUAGAAGGACAAUAGAUGAGUUUUUUCGCAUCUCUGGACGAAGUCAAAAGAUCGAGGCACUAGACCGGGGAGUUAGUUGUAAGGUGCGUUUAUAAUUCAGGUUAAUGGAGCUAAGAAAUUCAGUAUUUUCUUCCCAGUAAUUUUAAUUUACAUUUCAUUGUACUUUUAAAUGUCUGAAUAUCCUGCAUUUACUCCUGGUAAAUAAAUAAACCAAAUUUCCAAAUUUAACAUUGCAACCAAUAUUAUAAUUAAAGUCUAGCGAGUCAAAGAUCGGAAGAAGAUAUAUAUCCUACGAACUUACUCCUAAAACAUCCGAACGAAAUAAAUUAAUUUUGGUUAUAUUUAAUAAUUAUCGAAUAAAGUAUCACUCAAAUGUAGCUUCGGCAAGGAGUUAUGAAUCCGGUUUUCUCUCCAAGGGUACAGUCUACUGCCAUCCCACUUGAAGCUAUAAAUUAAUUGACAACGAGGGGAGGGGUUUCAUCAUCUCCGUACCUCCUUUCUAGGGAAAAUAUUUUAUUGACAACAAUUGUGUCAUCACGGCGCUGAAAGUAUUAACUACCGAAGGGCUAAACUCAAUUAACUUUGCCGAAGUUAACCUGAAUUUCUCAUCUAUUAAAUACUAAUGUUGUUGAAUGGAGUAAGGGUUCUUUUCUUGUCGUAAGUUAAACCGCCAGUUUGGUUGGUGUCUGUCUGAUCAUCAACCGCCCCCUCCCCCCGUCCCGCCCGUUAUCUCGAAUCCUAGAGCUAUCCUGAACUCGUUAAAAGCCCUGCAAAGUGUCCCAUUAUUUUGUCACCGAAACUACUUCCUUUCAUUAAAAAACGACUGCAUUCUGAGAUAAGAGGGUGGCUCCGAAUAGCCCAGGAUACUUUGACCGACGGAGAAGAGAAAUCUCAAUUUUAUUGAUCUAUUUUGUUUGGUCUGUUUGCGUUGAGAAGUGCUGGGGUGGAAAGCAUGCGCAGGAAACCUAGUUGCCUUCUGUUGUUCGCCAUUUGUAAUCUGGAAACCGUAACUCCAGCAAUUAUGUUGUUCCAAACACAUUGACAGACACCAAAUAAGGAGCAAAAGGGACAAAUAUCGUUCUUUAGAAGAAUGGGGGACGGGUGAAGUACAGCAGGAUUGCGGGCUGCGGCUCCGACUGCCGAAGCCUCAUUAUCUGUAAAAGCUUUGAAUUCUUUCAUUUCUGAUCUCUGCGUCGGUUUCAAAUUCUUUUCCCACCAGCAAGGUUUUUUUUAUUCUAACCUGGUCAGCACAGACUAGCUGGGCUGAAGGGCUGGUUUCUGUUCUGUAGUGCUCUGUGACUACAAUACUCUACACUUCUAAAACAACACUGAUUGCUUGGUCUUACAUCUGCAAUGUGGUUGGUCCAGAUUGUAGGUAAUGAAGGUACUUGGGAGAUAUUACUACAUUCAAGAUGUCCAACUCCAGUUAGGAAGGAGGCUUCAUAGCAUCCACUCCAGGACCACCAGACUCAAAGCAGUUACUUUCCCCAAGCAGCGAGACUGAUCAACACCUCCACCCACUAACCACCCCUAUUUUACCAUUGCAUAUCAACCACCCUAUGUGCAGACACUCCUGUGCCCAGCAUCGCUUUAUUGACAUCCAAUCAACCUUAUGUAUUUAUAUUUAUUGUUUUUUUUUUCAUUAUUUUGCUUCUUUUUGUGCUGCUUUGGAUCCGGAGUAACAAUUAGUUUGUUCUCCCUCACACUUGUGUUCUGGAAAUGUCAUUUUGGAUCUUGAAUGCUUCCUAAGUUCAAGUUGCUUGUUGUGUUCAACUAAUCUGGUAAGCUUAAGGGAAAUGGGGCGAGUAAUGUCUCUGAGAUGAAAGAGAAGUCAUGAGCUUACUGAGUGGGGAAGCACUGGCAAGGGAUCAAAUGCUUCCAGUUUCUAUUAUUUAUGCCUUGAAGUAAAGACUUCAUAGAAAACGAUCUCAGAAUAGAAGCCAUUGCUGUGAUCAACAGCCGUUCAUCACAAGAGAAGAUCUUCCCACCAUUGAGCACGUUUGCAAUGAGUGAUGCCACCCGAAAACAGGGUUCACCAUCAAGGAUCCCCGACCAUCUAGACCAUGCACUCUUCUCCCUGCUGCCAUCAGGAAGGAGGUACAGGAGCCUUAACUCCAACACCACCGGGUUCAGGAAUGCUUAUUACCCUUCAACCAUCAGGCUCCUGAACUGGCGCGGAUAACUUCAAUCACGUCAACAGUGAAUUGAAAACGCAACCUAUGGACUCACUUUCAAGGACUCUACAACACAUGUUCUCAGUAUCACUUAUUUACUACUUACUAUUAUUUGUGGUUUUUGUAUUUGCACAGUUUGACUUAUUUUGCACAUUAGUUAUUUAUCAGUCUUUGUGUUUAGUUUUUCAUUGAUUCAAUUAUAUUUCUUUGUUCGACUGUGAAUGCCCAAAAGGAAGUGAAUCUCAGUUUCUCGCUGAAUAAAAAUUUAUACCUUCCCCUUUGAUAUCAUUGCUGUGAUCCUCUCAAAAUGGAUGGUGUGCACUAAACUGGUGUGUAAUUACAAAAUCAGAAUUGGAUUUUCAAAGCCCAUUAUUAAUCAUUUAAAUCUCUCAGUGCACUUACACUAUGAAUGAGUUUGCAUUGAAUGACUUCCAAUCUAAUUAUGAAAAUUCACCCAGUCCUGGUGGUCAGUCUCCAGACAGCUAUGUCCCCUGAUGGGGAUGGUGUGGAAAUCUUGCACCAAGGAUUUAUCUCCCUGCUUAGGUAUGCAAACUGGGCAUAUGGUGACGUUUACAUAUCUUGAUAAUAAAUCUAUUUUGAGCUUUACUUUGAACUUUGGUAUCUAGCCAUCUGCAGGUUCUAAUGGAUCCCUAGGCCACCAUGAACAAGACAUGCAUUUCCUUAGAUAAGGCUCCCCAAACCCUUCUUGCUGUGACCACUUCCCUGAGGUUCCUAGAGUGAAAGGAUCAUAAAGUUAGGCAGCAUGGACCCAUGAUGUGUAACAAGUUUGUGUAUGAGAGAUUUGUUUUCCAUGAACCACACUCAGCAUAAUUAUAUGCAGCAAAUAAUAUAUUUUUGUUAUCUUUGCACCCUGUCAAAGUUUACCAUGACUGUCUUGUUGCCCAGUUUUCAAACCUAAGGCAGACUAUAAGACCAUAAGAUAUAGGAGCAGAAUUAGGUCAUUUGGCCCAUCGAGUCAUCUACUCCAUUUCAUUCAGGCUGAUCCAUUUUUCCUCUCAGCCCCAAUCUCCUGCCUUCUCUCCAUAUCCAUCCAUGCCUGACUAGUCAAGAAUCUAUCAACCUCUGCCUUAAAAAUUACCCAAUGACCUGGCCUCCACAACUGCCUGUGACAAUGAAUUCCACAGAUUCUCCACUCUCUGGCUAAAGAAGUCCCUCCUCAUCUCUGUUCGAAAAGGAUGCCCUCUACUCUGAGGUGGUGUCCUCUGAUCUUACACUUUCCCCACCGUAGGAAACAUCCUCUCCAAAUCCAUUCUAUCAAAGCCUUUCAACAUUCAAUAGGUUUCAAUGAGGUCACCCUCUUUCUUCUGAAUUCCAGUGAGUAUAGGCUUAGAGCCAUUAAUCAGUCCUCGUAUGACAAGCCUUUCAAUCCCAGAAUCAUCUUCAUUAUCCUCCUUUGAACCCUCUUCAAUGUCUGCACAUCCUUUCUUAGAUAAACUGCUCACAAUACACCCAAGUACUGUGUGACCAAUGCCUUAUAAAGCCUCAGCAUUACUUCCUUGCUUUUAUUUUCUAGACCUCUUGAAAUGAAUGCUAACAUUGCAUUUACGUUCUUUACAGUUGACUGAGACCUGCAAGUUAACUUUUAGGGAAUCCUACACAAAGACUUCCAAGUCCCUUUGCAACUCUGCUUUCUGAAUUUGCUCCCCAUACAGAUAAUAGUCUACACUUUAUUCCUUGUACCAAAGUGCAUGACCAUACAUUUCUGUACACAGUAUUCCAUCUGCCACUUCUUUGCUCAUAUUUCUAAUCUAUCUAAAUUCCUCUGCAGACUUCCUGCUUCCUCAACAAUACCUGUCCCUCUACCUAUCUUUGUAUUAUUUGCAAAUUUGACUAAUAAGCCACCAAUAAUUAAGAUAUUGAUAGUCAGUAUGUCAAUGAUAGGUCAUCCAAAUCAAUGGUCUAUUAUGUAAAAAGAAGUGGUCCCUGCAGAACACCACUAGUUACUUGUAGUCAACCAGAAAAGGCCUGCUUUAUUCCCACACUUUGCCUCCUGCUAGUAAGCCAAUCUGUUUUUGCUAGUGUCUUUCCUGUAAUACCAUGGGCUCUAAUCUUGUUUUGCAGCUUCAUGUGUGGCAUCUUGUCAAAGACCUUCUGAAAAUCCAAGAGGCAGAUUGACCCAUUCGAUUAAAUACUUCAAAUUCCGCCUGUGGCCUCAGACAACAGGGUGUGACUGAGAGGCAAUAAGGGGCAGCCCACAGUGCUGC